rnacentral:rRNA from 1 species
UACGAAGGGGGCUAGCGUUGCUCGGAAUCACUGGGCGUAAAGCGCACGUAGGCGGAUCUUUUAAGUCAGGGGGUGAAAUCCCAAGGCUCAACCUUGGAACUGCCUUUGAUACUGGGGAUCUCGAGUCCGGAAGAGGUUGGUGGAACUGCGAGUGUAGAGGUGAAAUUCGUAGAUAUUCGCAAGAACACCAGUGGCGAAGGCGGCCAACUGGUCCGGAACUGACGCUGAGGUGCGAAAGCGUGGGGAGCAAACAGG